CCAAUAGCGUAUAUUAAGGUUGCUGCGGUUAAAAAGCUCGUAGUUGAAUUUUGGGAUUGGCACAUCGGUCGUGUCUUAAGGGGCAUGAACUAGCGUAGCCAAUUCCUCACCUUCUGGUGAACUGGGAUGCCUCUUUAACUGGGUGUUUCAAUGAACUAGGACUUUUACUUUGAAAAAAUUAGAGUGUUUAAAGCAGGCAUUAUUUGCUUGAAUACAUUAGCAUGGAAUAAUAAAAUAGGACGAUGAUUCUAUUUUGUUGGUUUCUAGGAUCACCGUAAUGAUUAAUAGGAAUAGUUGGGGGCAUUAGUAUUCAAUUGUCAGAGGUGAAAUUCUUGGAUUAAUUGAAGACUAACUACUGCGAAAGCAUUUGCCAAGGAUGUUUUCAUUAAUCAAGAACGAAAGUUAGGGGAUCGAAGACGAUUAGGUACGUCGUAGUCUUAACCAUAAACUAUGCCGACUAGGAAUCAGACGAUGUUGAUUUUUUAAUGACUCGUUUGGCGCCUUACG
rnacentral:rRNA from 1 species